GACGAACGCUGGCGGCGUGCUUAACACAUGCCAGUCGAACGGAAAGGCCCUGCUUUUGUGGGGUGCUCGAGUGGCGAACGGGUGAGUAACACGUGAGUAACCUACCCUUGACUUUGGGAUAACUUCAGGAAACUGGGGCUAAUACCGGAUAGGAGCUCCUGCUGCAUGGUGGGGGUUGGAAAGUUUCGGCGGUUGGGGAUGGACUCGCGGCUUAUCAGCUUGUUGGUGGGGUAGUGGCUUACCAAGGCUUUGACGGGUAGCCGGCCUGAGAGGGUGACCGGCCACAUUGGGACUGAGAUACGGCCCAGUCUCCUACGGGAGGCAGCAGUGGGGAAUAUUGCACAAUGGGCGGAAGCCUGAUGCAGCAACGCCGCGUGCGGGAUGACGGCCUUCGGGUUGUAAACCGCUUUCGCCUGUGACGAAGCGUGAGUGACGGUAAUGGGUAAAGAAGCACCGGCUAACUACGUG
rnacentral:rRNA from 1 species